rnacentral:rRNA from 1 species
UGGGGAAUAUUGGACAAUGGGCGAAAGCCUGAUCCAGCCAUGCCGCGUGAGUGAUGAAGGCCCUAGGGUUGUAAAGCUCUUUCAACGGUGAAGAUAAUGACGGUAACCGUAGAAGAAGCCCCGGCUAACUUCGUGCCAGCAGCCGCGGUAAUACGAAGGGGGCUAGCGUUGUUCGGAAUUACUGGGCGUAAAGCGCACGUAGGCGGAUUGUUAAGUGAGGGGUGAAAUCCCGGGGCUCAACCCCGGAACUGCCUUUCAUACUGGCAAUCUCGAGUCCGAGAGAGGUGAGUGGAAUUCCGAGUGUAGAGGUGAAAUUCGUAGAUAUUCGGAGGAACACCAGUGGCGAAGGCGGCUCACUGGCUCGGUACUGACGCUGAGGUGCGAAAGCGUGGGGAGCAAACAGG